AUGGCGCUCGGCAGGCAGCGGAUCGUGAGGUUUGAUGAGGAGAUGGGGAUGCCACCGCCACCAAUUCAACAGAAACAGGCAGCAUUACCUGCUAUUAAACUUGGUGUCGCGAGCUCAGGGAAGAACAAGAUUUUCGACCCAUCAAGUGACUUUAUCUUGACGUGGAACCGUGUUUUCCUUUUUUCGUGCUUCCUUGCUCUAUUCAUAGACCCCCUGUACUUCUACAUCCCAAAAAUUGUCUACGGCACCGCAUAUUCCUGUGCUGGGACAGACAGACAUUUAACCAUCAUCCUUGCAUUCUUCCGAUCAAUUACCGAUCUUUUCUAUGUGAUUCACAUCAUAAUUAAAUUCAGAACUGCAUUUAUUAAAACGAGCUCAACCUGGGGGAUUUUUAAAGGAGGAGAUCUUGUCACAGACCCUAAAGAGAUUGCAUGGAAAUAUUUGAGAUCUGACUUUGCAAUUGAUGUGGUGGCUGCAUUGCCUUUGCCACAGAUCAUAGUCUGGUAUGUGAUACCAGCUAUCAAAUAUUCCAUUGCUGAGCACAACAAUAACAUCAUGGUGCUUAUAGUUCUUGCUCAGUAUCUUCCAAGACUAUAUCUCAUAUUCCCUUUAACUUAUGAAAUUAUCGAAGCUACUAAAGUUGUUGCAAAGACUGCUUGGCAAGGGGCUGUAUACAACCUGCUGCUUUACAUGAUAGCUAGUCAUGUGUUAGGUGCACUAUGGUACUUGCUAUCUGUUGAUCGCCAAACAGCUUGCUGGAAAAUAAGUUGCAGGAAUGAAACUAGGUGCGAUAUUAGGUACCUACAUUGUGAUAUGACACCAAAUCAGAAAUGGGCUAGUACAACUGAUGUCUUCCAUAGCUGCAAUGCUAGUGAUACCAGCAUCACCUUCGACUAUGGCAUGUUCCUGCCUGCACUGUCCAAUCUAGUGCCUGCUCAGAGUUUCUUGAUAAAGUUGAUCUAUUCCUUUUGGUGGGGUUUACAGAAUCUAAGUUGCUAUGGCCAGACUCUUUCUGUUAGCACCUACGUUGGUGAGACACUGUUCUGUAUAUUCUUGGCAGUAUUCGGUCUUGUCUUGGAAUCAUCUGGUCUGGUCUUGUUUGCAUAUGUGAUUGGAAAUGUGCAGACCUCCCUCCAAUCCAUCACUGUGACAAGGGAGGACGAAUGGAGGUUACACCAAAGAGAUGCGGAGGAGUGGAUGAGACGUCGUCAACUUCCUAAUGAACUGCGGGAAAGAGUUAGACGAUUUAUGCAGUUCAAGUGGCAUGCGACUGGAGGUGUGCAUGAAGAGGCUGUAUUGAAGUUUCUACCAGAGGAUCUACGACGUGACAUUAAACGCCACCUUUGCUUGGAGCUUGUUCGCCAGGUUCCGUUUUUCUCCCAGAUGGAUGACCAACUUCUAGAUACCAUCUGCGCGCGUCUUGUAUCAUCACUGUGCACAAAGGGCACAUACAUUGUUCGUGAGGGUGAUCCGGUGACUGAGAUGCUUUUCAUCAUUCGUGGAGAACUAGAAAGCUCGACAACAGAUCGCCUCACAGGCUUGUUCACUUCAAUUACCCUUAAAGCUGGUGAUUUCUGCGGUGAGGAACUUCUUGGGUGGGCUCCUGUCCCGAAGCCUACCGCCAGGUUGCCAUCAGCCACUCGUACAGUGAAGGCGGUCACAGAAGUGGAGGCCUUCUCACUUAAGCCGGAGGAUCUGAAGUUCGUGGCCAUGCAAUUUAGCAGUUUGAACAGCAAGAAGUUGCAGCACAGUCUCCGUUUCUACUCACACAAGUGGAGAACCUGGGGCGCGCGCCUCAUCCAAGCUGCUUCGCGGCGGUACAGGAGGAGAAAGAUGGCCAAGGGCCUGAGAUCAGGAGACUCGAAUGGUGAAGACGACCGUCCACGGAAGAAGAAUCUAUAA
rnacentral:rRNA from 1 species